GUGUCAGCCGCCGCGGUAAUACGUAGGUGGCAAGCGUUGUCCGGAUUUAUUGGGCGUAAAGCGCGCGCAGGCGGCUAUGUAAGUCUGAUGUUAAAGCCCGAGGCUCAACCUCGGUUCGCAUUGGAAACUGUGUAGCUUGAGUGCAGAAGAGGAAAGCGGUAUUCCACGUGUAGCGGUGAAAUGCGUAGAGAUGUGGAGGAACACCAGUGGCGAAGGCGGCUUUCUGGUCUGUAACUGACGCUGAGGCGCGAAAGCGUGGGGAGCAAACAGGAUUAGAUACCCUGGUAGUCC
rnacentral:rRNA from 1 species